UACGUAGGGGGCAAGCGUUGUCCGGAAUCAUUGGGCGUAAAGCGCGUGUAGGCGGUCCGGUAAGUCGGUUGUGAAAGUCCAGGGCUCAACCCUGGGAUGCCGAUCGAUACUGCCGGACUAGAGUCCGGAAGAGGCGAGUGGAAUUCCCGGUGUAGCGGUGAAAUGCGCAGAUAUCAGGAGGAACACCGAUGGCGAAGGCAGGUCUCUGGGCCACUACUGACGCUGAGAAGCGAAAGCAUGGGGAGCGAACAGG
rnacentral:rRNA from 1 species